AGCCUAUUGGCUUAGUUGGUUAGAGCAUUGUGCUAGUAAUGCAAAGGUCGCAGGUUUAAGACUUGCAUGAACCA
rnacentral:tRNA from 1 species